rnacentral:rRNA from 1 species
AUGCCCGCCGCGGCCGCCUCCGGCGGCGGCGUGGCCGACGCCGAGGAGCUUUUCCGCACCAAGCGCGUCGCCGAGAUCCGCGAGGUGGAGGCCGCCACCCGCCGCGAGAUCUCCGCCAAGGAGGAGGAGCUCCGGCAGCUCGUCGGCCGCAGCUACCGCGACCUCCUCGACUCCGCCGACUCCAUCCUGCUCAUCAAGCAGUCCUCGGACGCCAUUUCGGAGAACCUCUCCCGCGUCUCCGACUCCCUCUCGUCGCUCUCCCCGCCCGCUGAGGCCCCCAGCGCCAGCGCCAGCGCCGCCUCGUCCUCCUCUUCCGGGGGCCGCGCGCGGCUCUACGCCGCGGCGGCCCGCGCCAAGUACCUCGUCGACACGCCCGAGCACAUCUGGGGCCGGCUCGACGAGGGGAUCCUCCUGGAGGCCGCCGGGCGGUACAUGCGGGCGCAGGUCGUGCACCGCCUGCUCUCCCGCGACGCCGCCGCGGCAGGGCGGUUCCCGCUGCUCGCGCACCAGGCGCAGCUAGUGGAGGCGUUCCGGCCCCAGAUCGCGCAGCGCGCCCGCGAACGCCUGGCCGACCGCCGCCUCCCUGUCUCGGCCCACGCCGACGCACUCGCGGCUGCAGCGGCGAUCGACGCGCCGUCGCUCACCCCGUCCCAGGCGCUCCUCCUUCUCCUCUCCUCUCGCCGCGCCUGGAUCUCGCAAGCUCUGACCGUGCUAGCCUCGGAUCCGUCCUCCUACACCUCCGUGCUGUGCGAUGUUGCUGGGAUCGUUCGGGUCACUCUCGGCCACGUUGGGCAGUUAUUUGUGCCUGCGCUCACCGACUUGCCGAUGUUCUACAAGACAGUGCUCGAGUCGCCGCCCCCUGCACAGCUGUUCGGUGGCAUUCCAGACCCAGACGAGGAGGCACGGUUGUGGAGAGAGCACUGGGAUCAGCUUGAGGCUACCAUGGUGCUGCUUGAGCCGGAUACUGUGGCACGAACUUGUACAGAUUGGCUCAAGGAAUGUUGUGAUGAGAUGUUUGGUGUGAUUGCUGGGUCGCAAAGGCUAGUCGAUGCCAUCGGUAGUGGGGUGGGACUUGGCUCGGCGCAAAGGCUCAUUCGUGAGAAACUAGAUGACAGAACAGGACUGGAAGGGAAUUUGGAGCAGUGGCUGAAGAGUGUGUUUGGGUCAGAGAUUGAAUCCCCAUGGGAUCAAAUCCGUGGGUUAAUCUUGAAAGAAGGCAAGGAUAUUUUUGAGGACUGGAUGGAGGAAGCAUUUGUGCAACGGAUGAAGGACAUUGUGCAUUCAGAGUUUGAUAGCUUGGUUGGUAGUGUUAAUGUGAUGGAAUCGAUUCAGGCUAUUGGUGCGAAUGCUGGUCCUAAGGAUGCUGCUGAUUUCCUGGUGCAUGUGCAAAAAGCUUCGACUGGGGGCAGCGUAUGGUUCUCAGAAUCUAAGAUCAAGAAAGGUGGAAUUUUGGCACAUUUGAAACCAAUUGCUGACGAGAAUGACUUCCACAGCUGCCUAGCAUCGUAUUUUGGGCCGGAAGUUAGUCGCAUCAAGAAUGCAAUUGACGGCAAAUGCAAGAGUAUUCUCGAGGAUCUUUUAAGCUUUGUUGAGUCGCACAAUUCAGUUCAGAGAUUGAAGGAGUUGGUGCCAUACAUCCAGGAGAAAUGCUAUAAGACCAUCUUGGGAGUACUGAACAAAUUAGAAGCCGAACUUGGAAACCUUUCUGAUGCAUUGGGAACGAAAAAGGGGGAUGACAACAUGCCUGCUGCAUCUGUUAUUGUGGAGCGGUCUCUCUUCAUUGGCCGCCUCUUGUUUGCAUUGAGAUAUCAUUCAAGUCAUGUACCCCUGAUACUAAGCUCCCCAAGGCAGUGGGUAAAGGAUUCUGGUGGUGAAGCAUUUGCCAGGUUAUCAUCGCCCACGCCAAGACAUUCAAGAGCAUCUUUUGAGUCGUCAUCACCUUUUACCCCCAGAAGACAAUUUGACAGCCCUAGGAGUCCUGGAAGGCAAUUUUCUGAAAGCCCCAGAAGACAAUCUAUUGCUGCUGCUGCUGCUUCCUUGUUUGGUGCUGAUGAUAGCUCCAAUCCCAGACUUGAUGAACUCAAUAAGACCCUAAAGGCACUGUGCAUUACGGCUCACACUUUGUGGAUAACAUGGGUGUCUGCUGAAUUAUCAGACCUUCUUUCAUAUGCUCUAAAUAGAGAUGAUUCAUUAUCCUCAUCAACUCCUUUAAGGGGAUGGGAAGUUACAGUCAUCAAACAAGAGGAACCUACCGAUGGUCCCUUGGAGAUGCAAAUAGCUCUUCCAUCAAUGCCUUCGCUGUACAUUAUAUCCUUUCUUUACCAAGCAUGUCUGGAGAUUCAUAAAAUUGGAGGGCACAUCCUGGACAGAAUUAUAUUGCAUAAAUUUGCCUGGGAUUUACUACAGAAGGUUAUCAGUAUCUACGAAAACUUUUUGGCAUCUAUCGAAUCAAGUAACUCGCAGGUUUCAGAAAAAGGAGUUCUGCAAAUACUGCUAGAUCUGCGUUUCAUUGGUGAUAUCCUAUCCGGAGGCAAAAACUCUUCAGCCAAUCCUUCUGAAACAAAGAUAAAACAGGACAAUGCUAAGACUACCUUCAGGAGAAAACAAUCACAAUUCCAGGCAGAUUCAGCUACCAUAGAGCCUAUAAACAAGCUGAUCAAUAAAUUCUCGCAGAGAUUGGAUCCAAUAGACUGGGCUACGUAUGAAUCUUACUUAUGGGAGAAUGAGAAGCAAUCUUACAAGCGCUGCGUUGUUCUUUUUGGUUUCUUGGUUCAACUGAAUCACAUGUAUACUGGUGCGGCACAAAAGUUACCAACAAAAACAAAUACAGAUUCAAAUAUUAUGAGGUGCUCCCAGGUUCCAAGAUUCAAGUACCUACCAAUCAGUGCCCCAGCUCUAUCAUCAAGAACACCCAAGUCAUCACUACAGUCGCCAUCUGAUGAUUCGACAUCUAGGAACCCUUGGAAAUCAUCAUAUUCAAAUGGGGAAAGGUCUACUAUAUCAGAAUAUGAUAAUAAUGCAAGUCUUGGAAGUGCAGCUCCAUUGCUCAAAUCCUUUGUUACACAGGUUGGGAGCAAAUUUGGGGAGAACACAUCUAGAUGGGGUUCCAUGCUCUCUGAUGGCCAGGUAGGGCUGAGCGACAUUCUUCCUGGACCAGCAGCUGGGUUCUUCUCAUCUUUCACGUCUGGGGCCCGAUAUGAUUCAUAG